rnacentral:rRNA from 1 species
UAGGGAAUAUUGGUAAUGUGCGAAAGCGCGAACCAGCAACGCCGCGUGCACGAUGAAGGCCUUCGGGUUGUAAAGUGCUUUUAGAGAGGAUGAGGAAGGACAGUACUUUCUGAAUAAGCCUCGGCUAACUACGUGCCAGCAGCCGCGGUAAAACGUAGGAGGCUAGCGUUAUCCGGAUUUACUGGGCGUAAAGCGCGUGCAGGUGGUUUCGUAAGUUGGAUGUGAAAGCUCCUGGCUUAACUGGGAGAGGUCGUUCAAAACUGCGAGGCUUGAGAGUGGUAGAGGGAGGUGGGAUUCCGGGUGUAGUUGUUAAAUGCGUAGAUAUCCGGAGGAACACCAGUGGCGAAAGCGGCCUCCUGGACCAUUUCUGACACUCAGACGCGAAAGCUAAGGU